rnacentral:tRNA from 1 species
GAGGAUUAUAGGUUUGUGAGGGGAUUUCUAAUCCCUUAAUGGGCGGUUCGAUUCUGCUCAGUCUUUA